rnacentral:lncRNA from 1 species
UUAAACAAUUGCUGGUAUUUAAUAUUAGAAGCAGACUAUUUUCCAUCGAAGGAAAUAUCAAUUUACGUACGAUUUUACUUGACAUAUAUAAAAAUUUAUAUAUGUAUGAGAUAUAAUACUUUUGAUUAGUAAUUAAAUCACUUGUUCAUUUUUUUUGAAAAUAACAUAAUACACAAAUUUCAAAUUGGUAUUAUUACUACUGUGUUAAAUACACUCCAGAAAUGAUCAAACUGGUGGUACAGUGUUUUGUAUUAUAUUAUUUCAUUAUACAAGUAAGUAUAUUUUUCAUUCUUUUUAUCAGUCAUUAGGAUUUUGUGAUAAAUGUAGAAUAAACUUUUCCUUGUUACAAUAUAUAAUACCUCACACAAAAUAUACCAAAACAUUAACUGUGGAGUAAAUGUCUUGUAGAGUAAAUUGAUGUCAUACAUGUUUUCUUUUUAUGCCCCCACCGUAGCGGAGGGGGCAUUGAGUUUUACCCUUGUCCAUCUGUAUGUCCCAAAGUUGGUUUCCGUUCCUUUAUUUAAAUUAAAAGCUUCAUUUGAAAUGAAGCUGAAAUUUCAUAUUUUUUUUUUUUUAAACUUUUUUGCUUUAUUUUUUUUUCUGUUCUAGAUAGUUAGAUUAAACGGACAGUGAACUGCUACAGGAGUAGAUAGUAAAAAAAAACCACUUGAAUUAUGUGAACUGUGAAGAUCUGUGUAUCUCUUUAAUGUUUCUUUCACUGAUAAUUGUGAAUAGCUAGAACUGAAACAAAUACCAAUAUCAAGUAGGUUACAUUUGUGGAAUGAGUAAAUGGAGAUAAACUUUUCUUAUUUUACAUGUUUAAAUUUAUGUAUAGGAUAAUUUAUAGUGAAAUCACUUAAGAUAAGUCAAAAGUAUUUGAUUUGCAUUUGUAUUGGUAUUGGCAUAUCUUAAUUCAACAGGAAUCAAUUUGGUCUACAACCUGUAGUCAAGGUUCACUGACUACCAAUAUUUUCCUUAUUUUACAUUUCAACGUAUUGAUAUUUGAAUUCCAACAUUUGCAUUUGACUAUCAAAAUUAAAUAUGGGCAAGACAUAUGUCUGUGUCAACAGUUUAUUUAAAAUAAUUUUAGUGAUAUUGUAUAAAGGAGUAAAACGUUUUUAUGCCCCAUUUGUGGGCAUUAUGUUUUCUGGUCUGUGCGUCCAUUCCUUCGUCUGUUUGUCUGUUCAUCCCGCUUCAGGUUAAACUUUUUAGUUAAAGUUUUUGGUCAAGGUAGUUUUUGAUGAAGUUGAAGUCCAAUCAACUUGAAACUUAGUAAACAUGUUCCCUAUGAUAUAAUCUUUCUAAUUUAUAUGCCAAAUUAGAAAUUUUAUCCCAUUUUUCACGGUCCACUGAACAUAGAAAAUGAUAGUGCGAAUCCGUGUACUUUGGACACAUUCUUGUUUAUUAUAUUGCUUUAACAAUUAUAUUAGUUAUCAUGUUACCACACAAAGACAUAACUGCAAAUGUCAUAUCAUGCAUGUAAUACCAAUUUGUAUAUUAUAUAUUGUUGAACCAUCUUUUUUGUAUAGUUUGAAGUAUAGAAAUAUAAUUGUUAUUUAAUGAUCAGAAUGUAUUUGUGCCAAAUUAGAACUGAAAUGAGAAAAGUAGAACUAGUGGGUAAUGUUUAGGUCAUAUGAAAGUGAUUUUAUUUAUUAGUUUUAAAAUUAUUUAUACAUGUAUGCUAUGUACAAUAAAUAGUCCUUUAACCAGUUCACAUAAUUGACCCUGUAAUAAGAGAUCCAUUUUCAGUUGUCUCCCUUAGGAGAAACAUAAAUUUCUAUUGACAAAAAGAGCAAAUGCAUCUGUGCAUAAUGUAUAUAACUUUUAAAGUUUUUUUCAAAUCUUUUAAUUACAUUGAAUUUGUUGUUAAGUUAAAUACUUUUGAUACCAGAAGUUAUUUUCACUAAAAGUUGGAUAAAACACAGCGAUAUUACUUUCAUCUUAUCAUGCUUUGCAUGGACAGAAACCAAGCCUACAAUUGACAAUGAGAAGCAACUAAUUAAAGGAUGUAAAAAAAGUAUUGGAAUUUAAUAACAGUAUCAAAUUAGUACAUGGCAAAUGGAUUAAUUAAGCUUCUUUUUACCACUAAAAACCAAUGAAUUGAUUUCCAAUAUUUGCAUCACACACCAAACACUUUAUAUGUUUCGAUAGGAAUAGGAAUAAAAUAUAAGAUAAAGGGUAAAGGAUGAUGCAGCACCAAUGCUAGCAACAUAGUACAAACAAGAAGACAUUUUAAUGUCUCUAAUAACAUUUACCAUGUGUUUUACCAUAUGUCAAUCAAAAGUCUCUACACAAGAAGUGAAGUAAGCCAAUAUAAAUGACCAAUGAUCUACUAUUAGCAGUUUUAUUUAGCACCAAAGUUCAUAAAAGGCCAAGAAACAAUGUCAACCUUUGAUGGGGAUUGUGAUUGGAAAUUAUCUUUUAUAUUGUUGGUAAGUUCUAAUGAAAAUACAUUAAAAAUACUCUUUUUAAAACUAUUACCUCAACAUCAUGCCCCAAAAACCGACCACAGAACACAUGUAAAUAGGUUAAUGUAUUUUAUUCAGAUUUAAUUCCUAAUGUCAAAGCUUGAUUUUUGUGAAUAAGUGGUGAAAUAAAAUUGAGAAUGGCAAUGGGGAACGUGUCAAAGAGACAAUUACCCGACCAUAGAACAGAUAACUGCAGAAGGUCACCAAUAUAAGGUCUUCAAACUUAAUUUAAAACUUUAUUUAAAGUUUAUAAAGUGUAAGGAACACCCCUUUUUGUGUCUGUCAAAUUCUCACACAAAAAAGUACAAGCUGACUUCAUUUUCUGGUCAGUAUUUAAAAAUAAUGAUUUUAAUCUGGGAGAACAUGAUAUAUUAUUUGUACCUUACAGAAAGAAGUCCAAGUAGGGCCCUUGGUGAUAUUUCACCUUCUAAUUUAUUUUUAAGUAUAGUGGUUUUAAUUUUGGAUAACACGAUUUAUUUAAUUAAUAAUUGAUAUUGGAUUUAAACUGCAUGAAGUUGUACUCUCAGGUUGGUACUUUAAUGUUAGUUGUGUUUAGUGUUUGAGCCAAUGGGAUGUUUCAAGCAAUUUUCAAUUGUCAGAUUUGAUGUUAAUGUAUAGAAGUUUUAAUUAGUACAAAUGUAUAUAAUUGUGCACAUAAAACUUUUUUAUUUGGUGGCAAAUUUUUUGACAGAUUGAUCAUCAUGUUAUCAUAGGCAGAAAAUUAUAUUGGAAGUUUUUAAGUGUUAAAUGACAUAUGACCCAAGAACCCAGUUAUUUCCUAGUGCAUUUCUUUAAGACAAAAACCCAAUUUAAAAAAAUCACACUUGCUCUAUCCAAAAAAAAGAUUUUUACAGUAUAGGCCUAGUGUACAACUUUUGGGACAAAUUAUGUCAAAACUUUAGAAAAUUCAAAAUAUUGACAAUUUUAAAAUAAAGGGGUCUGUAAUUCAGUUUGAUAGCUUCAGACAACUUAUUUAUGACCUUUUCAAACUGGACAUCAACUUGACUUUAAAAUACUUGCCCCAAAUUUAGUUUACAUGUAAUUUCAUCCCCCUUCUUAUUAUAUUAUACAUAGAAAAUAGUAAAUAAAUUUGGAAGGUGCAUGAAAAAAUUUCUGCAAGUUCACUGUCCACAGACUCCACAUUAGGGACUCUAUUUGUAUACAAUGACGAUCAAAGGACAAUAACUGUGUUCCUGGACCAUAUGAAGUGGUAGAAGGAUAUUGAUUUAGAUGUAGAAAAGAGGAAACGUUGAUGAUUGAUUUUUCUUUAUUAAUUAAUUUUGUUUAAGAUGAUUAUUCACUUUUAUCCAUGGCAGAUGUAAAAUUUAAGUGUCUUGUCAAAACAUGGUGGUUUUAUGUUUAUUUAACUCUCUCUAUUUUGUAUGUUAAUUCUUAUGCAUAAAAUUGGUAUCUGAAAGCAUGUGCAAUACUUCAACUAAAGUUUUGUUAAUAUUUCAUGUGUGAUGAAAAAUUACUGUCAUACAAAUGUAAUUGUUUUUGGGUAAAAUUUGCACUUUUGUGCAAUCAACUCCUUUAGCAAAUAGCUAGAUGCCUUUUCUCUGGUGUAUAUUUGUACACACAGCAUUGUAAUACAUUUGUGCUAACAUAAUAAGUUUAUGUUUUGAGAAUGAAAGAAAAAGUUGGAAAGUUAUUAAAAUUUUUGUAAAAAACACUUUAUACGGAUCAUUAGAUAAAAUGUUGCCAUGCUUGUACGCAUAUUUAAUCAUGUGCUAAACUUGUGAGACCUUAUAUUCAAAGUGACUCGAAUGCAUUCGAGAUGUUUCUAAAAAUGUAUUUUUGCAUUCUUUUUAACUCUUUUUGCUUGGGCUUUUUAGGUGCUGUUAGAUUUUUUUCUGAGAUUUAACCUAAUAUAAGGCAUAAUCUUUAACAAAUAUGAUAAUAACUUAUGUACAUGUACUCAUUAUUUAGAUGAUUUUUUUACAUUCCAUGUUCUUGUAUUGAUGUAUUUUGUCUUGUUAAUAAUUAUAGCUAAUAGAUUGUUUAUUUCUUGUUUUCUAUACAUUUUAAAAUUUUUGUGUACAUUCCAUGUUCUCAUGUAUCUUGUUAUUGAUAGAGCAAAUAGCUUGUUCAUAUCUUGUUUUCUAUCAUGCUAUAUCAUCAGGUUGUUAAUAACAAUUCAUUG